rnacentral:rRNA from 1 species
UACAGAGGUCCCAAGCGUUGUUCGGAUUCAUUGGGCGUAAAGGGUGUGUAGGUGGCGCGCUAAGUCGGGUGUGAAAUUUCGGAGCUUAACUCCGAAACUGCAUUCGAUACUGGCGUGCUUGAGGACUGGAGAGGAGACUGGAAUUCAUGGUGUAGCAGUGAAAUGCGUAGAGAUCAUGAGGAAGACCAGUGGCGAAGGCGGGUCUCUGGACAGUUCCUGACACUGAGACACGAAGGCCAGGGGAGCAAACGGG